ACACAAUCACAUACACAUCAUUACUGAUAGUUUUUUUGGGAAACAACUGAUGCUGCAAUAAGCGAGUUAAAAUAGCUCUCAUUGACUUGCGACACAUGUCCAGAGGCAAUGUUGGUUUUUCCAACAAAAAUCCUUAAAUAUUGAAGUAACUUAAUUUCUGAAUGUUAAACCAACACCACUUCUUCCACUGUUUACCUUCUCCCUGGACUGUGUUUGUGUUUAAUCUGGAGUGUAUCUUGAGUGAAACAACUUGCUUCAUGACCAAGUGUGAGCUCAGUUUGUUUAGGAACGUCUCCGAUAUCCAGCCCGCAACUUGCUCCUCCACCUCCAAGUCCCAGACGCCAGCAGCAAUAGCAGCUACCUCAUCCGUUCCAGACCGUCAACCGCCCGAGCACAUGAGGCAUCUGGUCACCAAGUAUUUCCGACGGCAACGCUUAUAGCUUUCCAGUUCGUUCAGAUGUGGCUCUGGGACGCGAUCCAAAGGAGUUCCAGUCCCAUCGCUGCAUCUCGACUCAUCUCCUCCUGCAAGGAGCCAAGAACGCAAACCGCAACCCUCCCAGCGAUAGUCCGGGGCGGUCACCAUCACAUUAAAUCAAGUUUUGAACAUUUAAAGAUAUAACUAGUACAAGCACAAAUAUCUUCUUUUUAUGGAGAAGUAUUUUCUGCAGUGCCUAAAGUGGUUGUUAAAUUUAAAUAAUCGUCGCCAAAAUGUUUUGGGGUUUCUUUUGGGCGAGUAUAUGGCCAUGAUUCACUCCUCAUAACACUGAUGGUCUGGACCUGGCAAUCCGAGGCUCUUAUACCCGACUCAUUACUCAAUGAACGAGGACAUUUAUGACAUUGGUUGUGAUCGUUAACCCCUGGAUGUGUUAUUGAGUCAGUUCCAGGGUUUUGAGGUCGAGAACACAUGUUCACUGGGCGAAGGGCUUCCUGUCUCAGUCCCACAUCACAGACACGCAGACGCCCGCCAGGCUGAUGGGAUUACACAUCCGAUUAACGACUUCACUGCAGAUAGGCCUGUUGCAUCUUCAUAUAGCAGGGUUGUAACGUAUAGUGUAUUUUAAUGUUGAAGAUAGAUCACAACUAGUUUCAAAGCCAGUCCAACGCAUAUUAGGGUGCAUUACCGGGAAAACAUUGAUAUUUCAUCUGUUGUGGACUAUUGUGUAUUUUGGUAUUUUGGCUAAAUGAUUAAAUUAAUAAUAAUAAAAAUACAUUUAAUUUAGAGGCGCCUUUCAAGACACCCAAGGUCAAAUAAAUUCGCCUGUUAUCAUAGUAGGCUACACUUGGUGAAUGUAGCCUAGCUAAACAGCUUUUCUUAAUAAAACCAUGAAUACUUUUAGUAUCGGCACAGAGCAGAUGAGUGAAUGAUUUUUGUUGUAGCUUCAAAGUAAAAAUGAAAUAGAUCGAAUAUAAAUGACUCCUUAUACUUAAUGGUAUUGAGCCUUCAGAAUCAAAGAAAGACACCUCCAAACUAAAAUUAAAAGGGAUUUAAUUUGUCUAGACAACCAAAUAUUUAUUUAUUUAAAAAUAGUCAGUGUGGUCUUUGGGUCCCUCUGUAGGAAUAACGGG
ensembl:lncRNA